rnacentral:lncRNA from 1 species
AACUUGCAAUCACAAAAAUCUGCUUUGAAUUUCUCUUCUCAUCCUCCAUCCUUAAGAAUUAAUCCUCAUACAGGAAUUAUUGAAGCACUGAAGAAGAACUGUUGUCUGGUAUCCAACACAAGGAAUGAAGAUGUGUGGCUGUGGUGGGACGGGAAAGAUGAAGUGAAGACUUGUUGGAUGAAUCUAAUGAAACACAAUUGGUGGAAACUAAAUCGGCAAACAACCUGCAAUGCAACCUGCUGCAUUACACUGCUCCAAAGGG